CUAGUCUCCAUCGAAUAUUAUAUUUCUAACAGUUACUAAGUUCUACACUUGUUUGUAUUGUCUAUAAUUUUAUACUUUAUUUGUAUAGAUUUAUAAUUUACUUACUUACUUAUAUAUUAAGAUUUAUAAUAUAUUAUAUUUUUGUUGUAUUUUUAACGUAUAGGAUCGCAACGAAAUAGCAUUUCUAAUUUACACCUGGUCUCACGCGAUAAUAAAAUACAAAAAAAAGAUAUACAAGAACCACGAUUCGUCGCAAACGAUGGUGAUUACGGCACUCCAAUUAUUGCAGCGUAAUACGACGGUAGCUUAUCCUCUUCGGUAAGAAACAUCGUUACGUCAAUCGGAAAUAAACAUGAAAUUGUUACAAGAAACUAUCGUCGAGCUAUCGUGAACAUCCGAUUGUUCCAGCACGGAAUUCCUUCCGCGCAUUAUCGCGGAAUGUGUCAGUGGACAUUGUCAAUCGACAACAGAUACGUUCCGCUACACUUUUGCACGAACCUUUUCUUCUGGUUUUUCACUGGAGUCUUUUUUACCGGCGAGUUUCUUGUCCCGAGAGAAUGGUUGAAAUUCUUAUCAUCGAGCGCGACACAUCGUAUGCAUGCCUGUAAUUACAAGGACGUUGCGUGGUCUUGAACGACGUUGUGUUUUGCAUGUUAACGCGGCGAGUAUAACGAUGAAUUCACGAAAGUAAAGCAGAAAUUAUUAAUGUUUUAUGGGAAAACAUAGCACGAAACUUUUUAACUUUUAGAUUUAUUUCUAUAGUACCAAAGUCAAAACGUAACGCAACAAACAAUUUUAAUAUAUAUAAUGUUGAUCGAUUAUAUUAUUCUUAAAAAUUGAAACAACGAUUGAACGAUAAUUUGUUUUAUCGAAAAAGGUGUUUAAAAAUGUUCAUGAAACAGUACGAAGCUUAAAUAAAUAAGUGAAUAAAUAAAAUAUAUUCGUGGAUUAAUGUUAGUAUAAAGUUUAUAUAAAUAAAUAAAUAAAAAACGUUCAAGAACGAGUGUUAGCUCGAAGUUUAAAUAAAUAAGAAUGAAUCGAAUGUAUGUUAUUUCUGAUGCUUGUAAACGAGUAUCUCGAAAUAGCAGAAGAAUUUAUACAUGCCUGUUCGUCGAAAGUCCACGAAGAUCCUGGUAAAGAUACAAAAAUUGUAAAAGUAGAGAAUUUGUAACAUAUUUGAUCAUCUGAAUGGAUGGAUUAGUACAAAUUGAAAUGUCAUGUUUUCAUGGCAUUUUCCACUCUUUAAUCAGGGACAUUCCUGGAAAUAAUCGAAGCUCCCGAUUGCAAAUUACUGGUUGACAAGAAAGAGAGCGAUCUAGGGUUGUCUAAGAUUAGAGAGAUCCUUCGUGCCUAAGAGAAAGGAGCAAAAUAUUUUUUGAAAAAUGAGGACGAUGCGUUCUUUUCGAUCGGGAAUAUAUUAAUAGAAAGUAACAAUACAUCUAACAGAUCACUAACAAAAUAAAGACAUCGAUGAAAGACGUGAUGCAGCGUGUAAGGCGCAUUUUUCUCAAGAACAAAAGUUAGCAUUCUUGUCUCUCACUAUACUUUAUGUAUUAUUUAUAUUAUAUUUAUUACUAUAUUUUAUAGCGAUGAAGUAAAAAUUCAAUGGAAAGACUUUCGUCCCCCAUAUUUAAAAUUAACAUUACUUAAAAGAUAAAAUCGGUCACUUUGAUAGAAUAAUAAUAUAUAAAUGUAACUUACAGAAUAAUAAAUCUGAAAUAUAUGUACGAGUUAAAAGUGACUCAGCCUUCGCUGUACAUAACACCGCUUCUAGUUCAGAUAUUUAAGGAUGCUUCCCAACUUGCUAAAUUAAUUCUAGAUGAGCGAUGUGAAUUUUGCUAACAAAGUACAAUUACUAUAAUCCUCAAAUAUUCCUUUGGAAGGAAGGUGGAAAAUCUACAAUGGAAUUUUUGCAUGAAUUAUUUUGGACUAUAAGCUUAUUGGUGGUAGGAAGGCUUCUUAGGCUUAUAAACAUACAAAGAUAUUAACGUGAUAAAUAAUUAGAAGAGAUAAAAACAAAGAUAUCCUGAACAUGGGAUGAGUAUAAGAAAAAAUUCUGACUAGGAAUCUAAAAUUUUGUAUCUAAUAAAACGUGCAGGACAUUUGUGCGUAACAGUAAUAUUAUUGAAUUUAAAAUCAAUCCUGCACUGAAAUCUCUCGAUGAUAAUAAAUAAGUGUCGAGAAAAUGCAGUAUCGGGGUAUUUAUAAAACAUAAUACGUACCUGAGUUAUUUGCGCCCUGGUGGCAGAAAUAGGAAUUAAAAUUUUAAAUCACAUCAUUUCGCGCGCUGUCAUGUUGAAAGGUGGCAGCAUGAAUAGCAACUGCAGAGAAUUCGUGAAAAAUAUGAAAAUUUAACGUAUAUCGACAUAUCAGUGCUUCAAAAUGAUAGAACCACGUUAAUCGAUCUUAGUAAAGGAUAUCUGCCACUUGUUGGAUCUAGAGAGUCUUGCAAAGAUGCGCAUUUUCCACUGAAGUCAUCGGUAUCGAUGCUCCAAACCAUUACACCAGCCAAAUUUAAGUUCAUCGCAUAUUCGAUCUAAAAAUUUUGGAAAAACAUUAUAGAGGUACUCACCUAGGAUACCAUUGCUACUGAGGAGCAAUAUUGCAAGUAGAGACAGGAACACGCACACCUUCAUUAUUGAGAACAAAUAAAUUCGUUUUAUACCGAAUUAUUGUUCUGGUAGAUAGCUUUCACUUGACCACAGUGUCCUCGGAGAAAAAAAGCAGUCGCGCGUGUGACUUGCAAAAUGGUGCAGGUAGGAUGUUUGUGUAGUAAACGCCUAAGACGUACCUGUGCGUAUUCCAUAUAUAUAUAUAUACUAAAUUUCCGGAUAGAUAUUAGGAUAGAUAUCAGGAUAUAUAUCGGGAUAAAUAUCAAAAAAAUAGGAAACAAGCAGAUUUAAUUGAAAAACAAUUUCCGCCAAAGAUAGUCAUUCCCAGAAGUAAAAGAAACAUUGGAAAGCAUUUUAUACUUUUACAAUAAUUCAGAUAUCUAACUUACUUAGAUUACAGUACGAUAAUACUUAGCGAUUUGUUUAAUUGGUUUCAAACAAAAAUGUAAUUUCAUAUUACUAAAACAUAAAAUGUGCAUUUGCUUAUCUUUUAUAUUUUCAUUUUUGUAAGUAAUGAUUUUAACAAAAAGUGUUUCAUAUAAAAGUUAGAUGUUUGGAGCGGGAUAUAAUUUGAUUAUUUUAUUUUUUUGUAGGAGGAUGCGUAGAGGAUAUGAAGCCCAAUUUUGUUUUUCUUUCUUUUCGAAUAUUCUUUAUAUAUCUGGUGACAUACCAACUUUUUAUCUUGCAUAUUUAAAGAAUUAUAGCGGAAAAUACCUUACACAAAGACAGCUUCUGCUUUGAAUUAUUUUAUUAGAUGUGCAAAGAGUUGUCCAAUCGUUUCCAAAAAUGUAUCUAUUCUUAUGAUAACUUUUUGAACAUAGCUGCGUUAAGGAAAUAACUCCUUGAACAUGUAAUAAAAUCAUUUUCAAAGCAGAAUAUAUUUCUUUUGAUAAAUCUAUGGUGUAUAUGAUCAUACAUAAAUUUAGUGUAUUUUACAACUCUAUUCUACUUUCUAGCAUAAGAUUAUAUCAAGGUAUUCUUUUAGUUCAAUUAUUAAUUUAUUUACUUAUAUUAUUUUAUUUAAUAAUUUUUCGAGGUCGGUAUUUCAGAAUGUGACACCAUUGACUAAGAGUAGGAUUGCUGUGUACUCGUCUAUAUUCCUGUACCGAGCCAGUGAUUUCUGUUACUUCGAGUUUCUAAUUGGAACCGAUAGAUGGCAACACACAUCUAGAAAGGGAUCGUACUACUGUGCGACAAGGACAGAUAUAGUGUUCGCAGACAAAGGGCGCGACGAAUAGAAGUAUAGAGUUUAAUUAUGAUAGCAUUUCGAGACACAUGAAUCGAAGAAAUUUUCAUUCGUAAAAGAUAUUAGUUAAGGGGAUCUAUUUGUGAAUUGUUUGUAAUUGUAUCUGUUGAAAUGGACUGACUUUCUUCCUCUCUAUUUUAUAUCAUUAUAUGCAAUCAUCCAGCUUCCAGUCUUCUUAACCUAGAACACAUUAAUUUUAUUUUGAUAAAAAAAAGGACGAUUUCUGUACACUCAGAUUUUCUGUAAAUACAUAGAUAUCCAUAGACUACAAGUUGUACAGUAAACGUUGUACAAAUCCGUAACCUGUAGAAUCGCGAUUGAUUCGCAAACCAAUAAUAAUUAUUACUUGUAUCGCGUCCAUUGAGUAGAAAUCUCCCUCGAAAUAUGGUCAAUUCCAUUCCAAGGAAAUACAUAUUCCUUCUUUUCUGGCCUUUCUUAUUUGUUCGGUUAACAACGACUCUCGUAGAUCCGAAUCAGAAGGAACCUCUUUACGACCACACGAGGUCGAAAUUCAAGAAUUGUUCGCUGUUCAUUGAAAGUGGCAUGGCUUAACGAGCGAAAGAAAGAAGAAAAAUACGUGUUGCGUGGUAAUGACAAAUGCUGAUUCAUCGUAAAGGGCAAAUCUCUGGCACUCGUUUUGUUUUAUGUUACGUCACGCAGAUCCGCCGAUUUUACGUAAUUUUUUCACGAGCAUUCGGACGUGCAGAAUAAAAGCUUGCUUCCGGUACCAUCGCGCUUAAGACAGACAGCGAAAUCAUUCUCGCUGUCCACCUGUCCAUCAGAAUGGAAGAGCUAUAAAUAACCGAAAUAAAGAGACUUAAUCGUGCAAUACUUUGGUAUGGUUGAUUCAUCUAGAAUUGCGAAUUUGAUGCAACUAUGUGGAAUUUGUUUACUGGGAGAUGGUACUGUUGGAAAUACGCGAAAUAGUCGCUAGAUUUUAUAGAUAUUUAUGUAUUUAUAGGAAAUUUAAGAGCAUUCAUAAAGAUAUGAAUUUGUAUAAAAUCCACAGUCUAAAAAUGUUCAUACAAUAAAAAUCUCACACUUUGCCUCGGUACUAUUUCUCCACAAGUGUAUUAGUCCUCUAAAAAUCUGCAAUCUAAUGAUUAAUAAUCAUUAAUAAUGAUUAAUAAUAAUAAUAAUGAAUUAUAAAUUGCGAACGUAUUCUUCAUUUCUAUUUUGUUUCAUGAAAUAAUUUCGCUAAUAGUUCAAUGACAUAGUGCGUUCUUGCAGGGAUUCCCCGCCUGCAAGGUCGUCGAAGUUCAGAGAAUUGCAUUUGCUUCCCGCAUCUUGGAAUCUGCGCAUGGUAAUAUUCUUAACGGAACACGUGGCUGUUAAAAAAGCAACUCGUGAAGCGUGUCGGAGUCAAGGAACAGCCAAAAACGGCUUGCAAAAGAAGAGGAAAAAACCGAAGCUUCUAUCAGCUCCAGAUCGGUGUCCAUGAACCCUCGAGUGCUGUUUCUUGUGAAAAAGAAACCUGUUGUUCUUGCCUGGAUUCUUGGCCCUUUAUUCUUCUUCCUUCUUUAUAAUUUUUUUUUUUUUUUUUUAAUCUUUUAAGACUGCUCUUGUAUCUCACGUACGCCGUUUUCCUUUUGCAGUCUUUAUUUACUUUUGAAACUUCCUCGUGUUGCGGUACUCCACUGCGCUCUCUCAUCGAAAUCAGAAAAAGCCACGUCGAUCGGCAACUGAAAAUGAAGAAAAACGCUGUUAUGAACGCUGUUCUUCUAAGUUCGCUCUGUAAUUCUACUGUUAUUUCCUUGUAACAAGUAUAUCAUCUAUCUUUUGAAAAUUGAAAACACAAAUUGUAUUAUUUGCGUAAAGGAAUUGAGACAUUUUCAAAAAGAGUUUCGACCAGUUUGCUUUCUGAAUAGUUGAUACACGUAACAGCAUGGAAAUUAAGAAAAAGGAUGGGCGACGAUCGCGUGUGCCAUUUGCAUAUAUUUCCAGAGUAACGAUAUUACACCGUCUCGUGUUGCAGUUUCGAAAAAAGAAUCUUAAAAAGGAGACCAUGCAUCAAUUCGAAAGAAGGAAAAAUACAAAGUAUUCUUUGGAAAUUUUUCACUGUGGGAACAAUUAAAGAGAUUGACUAUAUGCAGUAAACAAUUGAGAAAGAAGAAGAUUAGAUUGUACCCAGACGAAAUUAUCAACGACAAAAUUUACAAUGCAAGGUAUUUAAGGUAUUUACUUUAGCUAUUGCAACUUUAAUGUCGAAGCGAGAGCAACGCGAAAGGAAUUGCGCAAUUGUAAGUGAAGAAGAAAUCGUGGCCGGGAAGUCGAGGACGCUAUGGAGAUCCAAUGGAACAGCAUUUAGCGGGGACAUUACAGCGUGUUUCGUUAUUUUUCAAGGAGCCAAAGUCGUCGAUCCUCCGCUUCUUUAUUUAUCUCUCUCUUUCGCUGUUCAUGUUUCUCUCAUGGAAACGAUGCUUGAACCACGUUUUACGUUGGUUAACGACCCUUUCGCGCCAGCGAAUAAAUUCCAGCUGCCCACGUAGGCUACUAUAUUUAUUGAGUAUCUCGAAUGAACGGUGAAGCGAGAGGUAAAGCUGCCGAAGAUCAAGUUCAAGAGCGACAGAUCGAUCGUUGGUCUUUUAGAGAAUGAUAGGAGUUCCUGGAGGCAGGUUUUCUGGGUCAAGGCCUUUGUCAAAAAUUUGAAUACGCCUAAUUUCAGUGUCCUUUAUCUUCGAUCUAUAUGCUCCCAACGUGGCUACCUACUGUAGCUCGUAAACGAUUUAUCGAGUCUUUACCACAUCGUUCCUUUCCUCGUCGGACGUGUAAUUAGCCGGCGUUUUAUUGGAUUGUUUUGACGCGAUCAAGAUGACAUAAACAAUGUCGAGUGAGCUACCGUCUUGAGCAAACGUCUUGUUGAAUUAAGAAAUUUCAGAAAAAUACGGAGAAGUUUUUCGGUUGGAUCAGAGAGGCCGAAUCGUAUGGAAUUUGUCAGCGUUAUGAAGUGUCCUCGAAUUUAUGAAGAAUAUCGGAUGACACGGGACUUAGUAAUGAAAUCCGGCACUGUGAGGAAAUAACUGGAUAUAAGACUCGUGCAGAGGAGGACGAAAUCAACGGUUAACUGUAUCUCCAUCGUAAAAUUGGCGCCGCGAUCCGGACGAUUCGAGCUUAAGAUUUGGUGAAUUUCCUUAUUGGUUUGUGGAGGCCUUGUGACUAACAGUAGGGUUGUUUAACAUCGAGAAAAGGUGGCCAAACGGGACCUUCGAUGAAGUUAAAUGUACGGUUUACUUAGAUAUAGUAUAAAGAGGUGAUGACGUAUUCAUCUUCAGGAUGUACGCAAGAUAUUGAUUUUACUAUUGAUUCUACUUUGACUCUAGUUAUCACAGGACUAAUCAUGUUUUCUCGAUGGUAUUUCACUAUGCCUGCAAAAAAUUUUUGUACCAAAUCUAUCUUCACAUUGUAAAAAGUUACGUACAUUUCGAAUUCGCUCUUUUUUCUUAUGUAAAUAAAAAAUAAUUCUGCCUUCGGUUCUGCUCUGAAGAAAUGAACUGGAACGUUCACGAAACGUGAGAACAACGCGCAGCAUAUUUCAUUUCCUUGUCUUAUAAAUUCGAGAUAUGUACAUUUUUAAAUAACAAAGAAAUAGAUUUCGUACAAAGAUUAUUUGUUAACAUAAUAAAGAUCGAAACCUAAAGAACCACAAGUAUGUGAUCCAAACAUCGUGAUAGUUUGAAAUCUAAAAACGGAAAUUAAUGACUCUUUCAACAAUCCUGUGUUUCAAGUGCCAUAGUUAUUUUUACAGAUACGGAAAUUAAAUUUCGUUCUGAAGAUUUGAAAAUGUCACACUCUGAUAUCGCAUAAUUGUGAAAACAGAAGCUUCUGUAUGUAAAUCACGUCGCUUUGAAACAAGUAUACCGACGAUCCACAAGUAUAUUUUCAAUUUUAAUAAGUA